UUAGACUCAUUCCAACUAUGUCACACUUAAGUAAUAAUUAGAUUUCAAAAUUCAAAUUCAAGAUUUGGAUCAAGUAGGUGGUAAUUAAUUUAAUUAGGAUUAUUUUUUUUAAAAGUACCACAUUCUGUUCAAGAUGAAUCAAAUUUGAUGGAAGUGGAUGAUAAAGGUUGGAGGUUCAAAUUUGAAAAUCUGUUAUGGGUUUAUGGUUGUUUCUUGGAACUUUUUUUUUUUGACCGAGUAUGCAGACGUAAGUUAGAGCUUUAGCAGUGUAUUUGAAUAUUUUCUUCAAUCUCACCAUGAUUAGAUUUGGUUAGUUUUAAUGCCUAUAAAUACCUUUCAUUAAAUCAUUUUUCUCAUCACAUAAAUUUUCUAAACACUUUCCACUAGCUCCCAAAAUUACCGAAGCUCACACACUCUCUAUUCUUAAAUAAUUAUGUUUUCUUUCUAGGACUUUCUCUAUCCUGGCUAUUAUAAUCUCCAUACAACUAUUAUCCACACUACCUCACACAAAUAUACACACUACUAUUAUUUACUCAAUCAUCCACAAGCCACGGCUCAACCUACAAAUUACCAUCAUCUUAUUUUCUAUUUCAAGAUCAUCUCAUGUUAUAGGUGUGUCUUACACUAGGCCUGGGCUUAAGAAUUCUUCAUAGUCACGAAUAGGAUUCUCCUUUGAAGCUACGGUACUUCAUAAGAAAAUUAUUAUUUCUCAAGGAUCACUCUCAUUGAAAUCAAGGCUAGGACUCCACAUUCGAGAAAUUCUUAGAAACAAACAAGGAACAUUAGGAAAUAAUGUCUCCAAGAAGAUCAGUUCGAAUCAACGGCAAUAGAAACAUCCACGUGGAUGCAGCUCCAGCACCCGCAAGGGGCGGAGGCCGAGGUGAUGGUCGACGCGGAGGCCGACGUGGAGGCCAAAGCGGUAGGGGAGGUAGACAAGGAGCAUCGGUAGCACCGGUAGAUGAAGUAGCACUCGAACAACAACAACCUCCCAAUGCUCAAGCUUAGAUACUCCGAGAAAACGCUCGUAUACGUGAGGAGCUAACUCAAGAAAUUUCAAGGCUACGAGCUCAGAAUGAGGAGUUACGGCGGAAUCAAAAUCCACCCGUUAGAAACCUAGCUCUUCAACCAGCUGCAAUGAAUCCAGAACCAAUACAACGUUUUGAAUCUGUGUACGAGCGAUUCAGGAAACAACAACCACCAAUAUUCAAUGGGAGCUCGGACUCACUUGAA